CAGUCGCCGCGGGAAUACGAAGGGUGCAAGCGUUAAUCGGAAUUACUGGGCGUAAAGCGUGCGUAGGCGGUUUGUUAAGUCUGCUGUGAAAUCCCCGGGCUCAACCUGGGAAUGGCAGUGGAUACUGGCAAGCUAGAGUGUGUCAGAGGAUGGUGGAAUUCCCGGUGUAGCGGUGAAAUGCGUAGAGAUCGGGAGGAACAUCAGUGGCGAAGGCGGCCAUCUGGGACAACACUGACGCUGAGGCACGAAAGCGUGGGGAGCAAACAGGAUUAGAGACCCCCGUAGUCCCUGUCUCUUAUAC
rnacentral:rRNA from 1 species